AGAUUGCAGCGGCGCAACUUGAAAGGGAAGAGCCCGGGACGUGUAGGAGGUGAGAGCCGGCCGCAAAAUCCGCUCGGCCGCUUUUUCUCUUCAAACCCUCAGGGUCGGAUGUGGCAUUUGAAGAAAGAAGGCGUGGGUCAAUAAUCAACCCGCACUUUCUCCUCCAAACUGCUGACGCGACUCUCACCGCCUUCUCAGCUAAGCCAGCUGCAGGGAAGGCCGUGAGAACCAGACCUAGGAGUGGACUGUCUGAGCCAAGGGGGCUGAGAGCGUUGGAGCAAAGGGCUAGGGCGUAUGCAACGCAUACCUUUCUUGCACCACCAAAUCAAGCAGCCCGAGUGCCAAGACCAGGCCGGACCGAAGGAAGUGCAGGAGCCGCGGGAGAGCUCAGCUCCGUGCGCCCUCGACUAGCACCUAGGUGGCUCUGGGCGGUGGGUCCCAGCCGGCAAAAUAGAGCUCUGAUUUCAAUAAGCGGGUCUGGCGUCCUGGCACAUAGAUUGCGGGUACCCGCGGCUCAUCUGAAAUCCAAAAGGCUGGCUUUGAAGCAAGCAUAGGCGAGAUUGUUAAAAUUAAUAAUUUAUAAUAGCAAGGUUUUGUUGGCUUGUUACUGGGUUGUGAUCGAAGAUUCGCUGCUAUUUGAUAUCCAUUUCUAGAAAUUGCUCACUGCCGCUUUCCAGGCGAAUCCCGCAGUUCCACAGCCUCUCCCAAACCACCAAGCUUUUCUUUGCUCAGCAUCCGUGGGCUUCCCCAUCUUUUCUAAGUCCCGUGAUUUCCAGAGUGACCAGAAGAAGCGUUUUCUAAGGCACAGAAGAGUACUUGUAGCAACGGGGUGCCUGAUGGAACCUUUCUGCCAUUCAAGGGGUGUCCUGCCCAUCUCUGAGGGGGCUCACCGCUCCAAGACUCUCUGUGCAAGCCAGGGAGGAAGGUGAGGAGUAACUUUUGGCAAGAAGUAUCGUUAAAAUCCAAAGAUGGGGAGGGAAGGUAUUGAGGAAAUAUGCUGGCCUAUGAAGAUGAGGAUGGAACUUUGAGAGUCCAGGGGACCAGUCUUUCUAAUAGCUAAUCGUUUGGCCAUAACCUGGGUGGCUUUAGCUCUUUCCUGGGAGGGGAGAGAAAAAGCCAACUGUGCUCUAUGAAAGCAGUUAUUGGCUUCUUACUGUGCAUGCUUUUUAUACAGAACCAGGCUGGAGAGUCUGUUGUUAGAUAUUUAUUCUCUUGUCGGCACUGAAGCCACAAUAAAAAGAUGCCUCUAACAAACCUUUACUCCAUUUCUCCUUCUUUCUAGUGAAACUAUAUUAUUUAUGAGUCUUUAACUGGGUCAAAAAUGCACCAGAACUGGGUCAUAAAUCAUAUGAAAUGCUGACAAGUAAUUGAACAGCAAUUAAAGCUUACAUUUUAUUUCCAAGGGGUGUUUUAGAGCACUCAAACAGCCUCAGUUAAGCACAGUUACCACCGAGGUCUGCACGAGGGAGGGCAGAAUCCACCCUGCCUGGGGAAGUAAAUCUCACUCAAGUCGGAGAAGCCUGGUUUGAAUUUUUUAAAUAAAGGAAUAUGAAUAUUUUUUUUUAACUAAAGAAGGCAAAUUUGAUUCCUAACUCCUCACAGGGAUCUCUUUAUCUGCUUCAAGGAGCAAAGUAAAGACUAAUUUCUUUCACCUUUCCAAAGACUUUCACUCUUCCCAGGAGCAGAAGGUCCCCAAAGCCCAAUUAGCCCCAGCCUGGCCAAUAUUUUGGAGCGGAGCAGUUUAACUAAUCUCCCUCCAUACAGGCAAUAGCUCCCUUUCAGGGGAUAUAAAGCCAGAGAAAUGUUGUCUCUGCUUGCUAAGGACUACAGCUACAGAAUUCCCUCCAAUCUUGGGCACAUAGGCCAGUUCUUUAACUCUCCAGGCUGGCUUAGGGUGUACAGAAAGCACCCAACCCAAAAACACUGGUGGGAGCUCAAACUAAGCCCCAGACCCCCUUCUGCAAAUCACACCGACCAGACCUCCGGGCAGCUGGCAUGCUCCCCAGCACCCCAGGCUUCUCUCUCUCCAUCCCUCCCAGGCAGCUAUUGCUCUGGAAACAAUGGCAUGCCCUCCAGGUUGGACUCACUGGGUCCGGCAUUGGGAACUCUGCCUCCCCCCCCCCCCAACCCAGCACUGAACAAAGUGGCUGGAAGCAUCAUCAGUAAAAUGGCAGUGUGUCUGCACAUUCUCCUCAUUGAUUUUCCUCUUACAUUUGCUCAGGCUGCUCAGGUCAGCCCUAACCCUUCACCCUGCUCAGCAAACACUGGCCAAAUGGAGAGAGACCCCCUUUCUCAGCUACUGGCCCACACCUUUGUCAUAAGGUCUGGCCCUUCUAGCUUCUUGCUGGCCACCUCUCCUAACCAGAGCUUCCAGCCACCUCUGCUGCCUGAGAGAACCCUACCUCCGUCUGGAGCUUAGCUCCUGGGACUUCAGCCCUUCAGGUUGCAGUGGGACAAAGCAACCCCAAAACUAGAGACUACUAGGCCCAUCUUGUAGCCCCCAAGUGCCCUCUUCUUUACAUCCCACAAUACUUUCCAGGGAAUUAAACUCAGAGUCUGAGGAGCUACUGGGAAUCUUUCAAAUGCUUUCAGUUCUAAAACAGAAACAAAGGAAGACAGAGGGAGGGUGAGGGUCCUGUGCAUGAUCCAGGGUCUCCUUGCCUGACCUCUGUCUCCCACAGCCAUAACUCACCCUAGGUAUGAACAAUCAGAGGAAAUACCUUAAAAUAAAUCCCAUCCUCCUGGUGUGGCCGAGAGUCCCAUCGGCUAGCUUGCCCAGAACUGCUCCAUGAGAACUGAAAACUGCAAACCGCUGGAAGAGCACUCGCUCGCUCCGGAGAAGGGGAAGGAGAUGGAGAAGGAGGAGGUGGGUGCGUGGGGGGUUGGGGGGGGAAGCUUUCGCUCUAAAAAGAACCUAGAAAUGUAAUCGCCAACGAAGCCUGCCUGGGUCUCCGCUCCCAAUACCACAAUAAUGUGCAGCAUCGUGUGCUCACGUGGUCAGACGUCAACUUAAAUCCUUUUAUUUGAAAUAGGGAAUCACUGAAGGAACCAGGUUUCCAAGCAGAACAUUUAGAUUUGCGAGAGAAAAGUAGGGACUGUAACCAGUCCAGGGUUGGAGUUCUAUCUCACCAGCAAGAGCAUGAGGGGGGCACCCCACACACAUACAUACCACACAAAGGCGCUUGUCUCCUACGUACAUUUCUUUACACACACUCCAAACACAGGGAAACAGCAAUGCUGUCUGUCUUCUUCGUGUUCACUUAACUUUCCCUAUGGCCUCCCCUUUACAGACAAAUUGAAUUCAGCAUGCCCGGUCGCCACCCCCUCCGGGCUUCUCGGACCCACAGACUAGCAUAUCAAAAGACAAGACGCAAGCCUAGAAAUGACUGGCUAGUCACUGGAUCAGUCAGCAGACUUCUUUAUGGCCUGCAAUUGUAUGGAGUUUGCUAACACCCACGCUAUACACCACAGCCACUGAUGAAACCAAAGGCUUGUAAUUACCUGACAAAAUGUUCAAGUCUCUGCUCCAAGUCCAGUUGGUUUUGUUCGGAGGCAGCCUACUAGGAAAGUGGUGCUCCGCUAUAGAGUUGUGGGUCAGGAUUUUGCCAAAUCUGAAGAGACCUAAUGCCCUAGCCAAACCCAUACUUAUGCAUUUCCUCCGUGCAUAGCUGAGUGAUACAUGAAAGUAUAUGCCUCC